AACGAACGCUGGCGGCAUGCCUAACACAUGCAAGUCGAACGAGACCUUCGGGUCUAGUGGCGCACGGGUGCGUAACGCGUGGGAACCUGCCCUUAGGUUCGGAAUAACUCCCCGAAAGGGGUGCUAAUACCGGAUAAUGUCUUCGGACCAAAGAUUUAUCGCCUUUGGAUGGGCCCGCGUUGGAUUAGCUAGUUGGUAGGGUAAAAGCCUACCAAGGCGACGAUCCAUAGCUGGUCUGAGAGGAUGAUCAGCCACACUGGGACUGGGACACGGCCCAGACUCCUACGGGAGGCAGCAGUGGGGAAUAUUGGACAAUGGGCGAAGGCCUGAUCCAGCAAGGCCGCGUGAGUGAUGAAGGCCUUAGGGUUGUAAAGCUCUUUUACCCGGGAUGAUAAUGACAGUACCGGGAGAAUAAGCACCGGCUAACUCCGUG
rnacentral:rRNA from 1 species